GGGUGCGUAACGCGUGAGCAACCUGCCCGUCACGGGGGGAUAACCGGUGGAAACGCCGACUAAUAUCCCAUGGUUUCCGUUGGGGGCAUCCCCGGCGGAAUAAAGGCUUCGGCCGGUGACGGAUGGGCUCGCGUGACAUUAGGCAGUAGGCGGGGUAACGGCCCACCUAACCUACGAUGUCUAGGGGUUCUGAGAGGAAGGUCCCCCACACUGGAACUGAGACACGGUCCAGACUCCUACGGGAGGCAGCAGUGAGGAAUAUUGGGCAAUGGGCGCAAGCCUGACCCAGCAACGCCGCGUGAAGGAAGAAGGCUUUCGGGUUGUAAACUUCUUUUGUCAGGGACGAGUAGAAGACGGUACCUGACGAAUAAGCCACGGCUAACUACGUGCCAGCAGCCGCGGUAAUACGUAGGUGGCAAGCGUUGUCCGGAUUUACUGGGUGUAAAGGGCGUGUAGCCGGGAGGGCAAGUCA
rnacentral:rRNA from 1 species